rnacentral:rRNA from 1 species
UGUCUUUUUGAAAAUAAUAUAAAGUCUAAUCUGCCCACUGAUUUUAUAUUAAAGGGCUGCAGUAUUUUGACUGUACAAAGGUAGCAUAAUCAUUAGUCAUUUAAUUGAUGACUUGUAUGAAAGAUUGGAUGAAAUAUAAACUGUCUCUUAAUUAUUUAUAUAAAAUUUAAUUUUUUAAUUAAAAAGUUAAAAUAAUUUAAAAAGACGAGAAGACCCUAUAGAGUUUUAUAUUUAAAUUAAUUAAGAUUAUUUAAAAUUUAAAAUUAAAAUUAAUUUAUUUAUUAUAUUGGGGUGAUAGAAAAAUAUAUAUAACUUUUUUUUAUGUGAAACAUUUAUAAGUGAUUAGAUGAUCCAAUAAUAUUGAUUAUAAGAAAAAGUUACCUUAGGGAUAACAGCGUAAUUUUUUUUUUUAGUUCACAUAAAAAAAAGAGUUUGCGACCUCGAUGUUGGAUUAAGAUAAAAUUUAAAUGUAGAAG